CUUAAAAAGUUAAUCGUGUGUCGCUCACACUCCGUGCUGGGUCUGCAGCAUGUGCCUGUCUGUUUGCUAUGAGGAAGGGGAUCCCACAUUCCUCCACUUCAUUGUAUAGUUGGAUGGGUUUGCUAUUUGCUGGAGCACUGACUAUUAUUGGAAGAGUUCAUAUCCUGAAAUUCAAGAGAGGGACAUCACAAUUUUCAGAUUUUUCAGGUAAUCAGAUUGUCUUAGAUUGCACAUGUACCCAUGUUCUCAUAACCAACCUGAUGAAAAGGUUAGUCCAAUGCAUUGCAAGUCUGAAAUUCGGAGAACGUAUCCACCCCCUUCUCCUUCAUAAAAUAGAUACAGCUCAAUUUCUGUCUGCCUCCAGUCUUCUGUCUUUCUCUCUCUCCAUCCAUCCUCCACCAAUCGACUUUUACAGAUAUUUAUCUUUCCUUCACUUUGUUAAAUUCAGGUCGGCCUUUGCUAGGGCCAGGUUGAAUGUAUUACCUUCUGCUAUACUCCUAAGCAGGUUUUCUAAAGAUUCUACUGCUUUGGGGUUGUGUUCGUGUGGAGAGGGCAGCCUUGAAACUCAUUCACAUCUUGCUAUAUUGUCCCCUAUAUCGUGAUUCUAGGAGAGAAUGAUUUUCUCCAAUUUUAGAGCAGUUCCCUGGCAGGCCUGACUCCUUUUAUCUUAACUACUGUUUGGCCAACACUAAUGAUGAAGUCACCAAAAUAGUAGCUAAAUUCAUUUAUGGGGCUAUGAGACAGACAUCUUGCCAUGGUUUUCUAUAAUGUAUUUUUAGCUUUAUUUGCAUGCUUGUUUUUACAUUUUUUAUAUUCUUUUUGAUAUUUAUUGCACCUCUGUAUGUUCUUUCUAUCGUUUUUCCUCCUGGUUGGCUUAAGGCUGUAAUAAUAAAAUUGAUUGAUUGAU